UACGUAGGGUGCAAGCGUUAAUCGGAAUUACUGGGCGUAAAGCGUGCGCAGGCGGUUGUGCAAGACCGAUGUGAAAUCCCCGGGCUUAACCUGGGAAUGGCAUUGGUGACUGUACGGCUAGAGUGUGUCAGAGGGGGGUAGAAUUCCACGUGUAGCAGUGAAAUGCGUAGAGAUGCGGAGGAACACCGAUGGCGAAGGCAGCCCCCUGGGCUAGCACUGACGCUCAGGCACGAAAGCGUGGGGAGCAAACAGG
rnacentral:rRNA from 1 species